GAGGAAGGAGGGGGGAGGGUGGAAUACAUGCAAGUCGAGCGAACAGACGAGGAGCUUGCUCCUCUGACGUUAGCGGCGGACGGGUGAGUAACACGUGGAUAACCUACCUAUAAGACUGGGAUAACUUCGGGAAACCGGAGCUAAUACCGGAUAAUAUAUUGAACCGCAUGGUUCAAUAGUGAAAGACGGUUUUGCUGUCACUUAUAGAUGGAUCCGCGCCGCAUUAGCUAGUUGGUAAGGUAACGGCUUACCAAGGCAACGAUGCGUAGCCGACCUGAGAGGGUGAUCGGCCACACUGGAACUGAGACACGGUCCAGACUCCUACGGGAGGCAGCAGUAGGGAAUCUUCCGCAAUGGGCGAAAGCCUGACGGAGCAACGCCGCGUGAGUGAUGAAGGUCUUCGGAUCGUAAAACUCUGUUAUUAGGGAAGAACAAAUGUGUAAGUAACUAUGCACGUCUUGACGGUACCUAAUCAGAAAGCCACGGCUAACUACGUG
rnacentral:rRNA from 1 species